rnacentral:misc_RNA from 1 species
AUAUCUAUAUCAACCCUUCUCUUGUGUAGGAGUGGUUUGGAUUUGGGGGUUUGCUGGCCUCUUAAAGGUUCAGCUCUCCUGAAAUGCAUUAGCAGAACAAUCCUUGCUCAUUGGCGUGAUAACUAUCUAUGCUAUUGAAUGUGAGGUGCAGUUCAGCUUUCUAACAGUCCUUUGGACAAAUUUAUCAUUA